UGUAAGUCUUAUCAUGGUGUC
rnacentral:siRNA from 1 species